GACGAACGCUGGCGGCGUGCUUAACACAUGCAAGUCGAACGGAAAGGCCCUGCUUUUGUGGGGUGCUCGAGUGGCGAACGGGUGAGUAACACGUGAGUAACCUGCCCUUGACUUUGGGAUAACUUCAGGAAACUGGGGCUAAUACCGGAUAUGAGCUCCUGCUGCAUGGUGGGGGUUGGAAAGUUUCGGCUGUUGGGGAUGGACUCGCGGCUUAUCAGCUUGUUGGUGGGGUAGUGGCUUACCAAGGCUUUGGCGGGUAGCCGGCCUGAGAGUGUGACCGGCCACAUUGGGACUGAGAUACGGCCCAGACUCCUACGGGAGGCAGCAGUGGGGAAUAUUGCACAAUGGGCGGAAGCCUGAUGCAGCAACGCCGCGUGCGGAAUGACGGCCUUCGGGUUAUAAACCGCUUUCGCCUGUGACGAAGCGUGAGUGACGGUAAUGGGUAAAGAAGCACCGGCUAACUACGUG
rnacentral:rRNA from 1 species